GGCAGGAAAUAAACACGAAAUCGAGCAUCAGGUUGCGGCGCGUGGAACAACCGGUGGUACUGAGACACGGUUCUUCGGUGCUCGCGGCCUCGGCCCCCUGAGCAGCACGACCCAAGUUUAGGUCAACUUAACCCUAUCCCAUCCCGCUUACGUCCGGCUCCGGUGGAACGCUUGGGGGGAAAAAAAAUGGGAGACAACCCACAAAAGUGGAUCUCGGCAGGUCCGGGCUGCGAUCCGGACCGAAACCUGUCGGGCGCGCUCUGUCCCGCCUGACCGCGGCUUUCCGCGGCGCGGGGCAGGGAGCACUCGCACCCCUCCCUGCCCCGGCUGCUGCGGAGAUUUGCCCGGCCGCUGCCGGCGGUGAGGCGAGGCUGAACAGGGGAAACAGCCUCAGGCUUGCGGGCAGCGGGAACAUACACCAGGGAGAGGGAAUAACGUCCUGCGGAGGGCCGGGCGGCAGCGGAGCGCUGCAGGGCGCUCGGCGACAGGCCCCUACUUCGGAUCAACUCAUUAUCCCGAAUAAACGAUGUGUCAUUCCCAUUAUUUAUGUUUCACUGCAGCCAAAGUAUCUGGACCUCGUUUUGCAUUUCAAGACAAACAGCUGUCCCAAGUUUCAGCUGGAGGAGGAAAAGGAAGACACCAUCAAGCACAAAUUGGUCAUCCAGAAGCCAAAAUGUGUUAUGACAAUCGUCUCCGACAUGCAAAGGUAAAUGUGAAAAGGAGCCAAGCACUGUUGCAACUGAGGGAUUCUGUUAAGAAGCUGAAGGUGACCACUGAGAACUUCUCCCUCCUGCUUACAUAAAGAGUGAUAGCUUUUCAAUGCAAGGACUCCCAAUCUUUUACUAAGUAGGCAAAUACAGUCGGAGACACAUUUUUCUCCAUGUGAGUAGCCCCACUGAGGUAUCAAUGUGAUCCACCAGCAUCACAGGAACAGGAUCAAAGGCUACAAAGAAGGGAAGUUUGGAACUCCAGAUGAUUUGCUCAUCAAAAUCAGGUGUUGUGGAUAUCCUAGCUUUAAUUGUUACUGUAAUACAUGCUUAGAGCCUUCUCCU